UUGAACGCUGGCGGCAGGCCUAACACAUGCAAGUCGAACGGUAACAGGAAGAAGCUUGCUUCUUUGCUGACGAGUGGCGGACGGGUGAGUAAUGUCUGGGAAACUGCCUGAUGGAGGGGGAUAACUACUGGAAACGGUAGCUAAUACCGCAUAACGUCGCAAGACCAAAGAGGGGGACCUUCGGGCCUCUUGCCAUCGGAUGUGCCCAGAUGGGAUUAGCUAGUAGGUGGGGUAACGGCUCACCUAGGCGACGAUCCCUAGCUGGUCUGAGAGGAUGACCAGCCACACUGGAACUGAGACACGGUCCAGACUCCUACGGGAGGCAGCAGUGGGGAAUAUUGCACAAUGGGCGCAAGCCUGAUGCAGCCAUGCCGCGUGUAUGAAGAAGGCCUUCGGGUUGUAAAGUACUUUCAGCGGGGGGGAAGGGAGUAAAGUUAAUACCUUUGCUCAUUGACGUUACCCGCAGAAGAAGCACCGGCUAACUCCGUG
rnacentral:rRNA from 1 species